rnacentral:tRNA from 1 species
GCGCGCGUGGCGGAAUUGGUAGACGCGCUAGAUUCAGGUUCUAGUGGGGGCAACCCUGUGCUGGUUCAACUCCAGUCGCGCGCACCA